UGGUCAAGUUAUUAAGGGUGCAGGGCGGAUGCCUUGGCACUAGGAGCCGAUGAAGGACGUGAUAAGCUGCGAUAAGCUUCGGGGAGUUGCACGUAAACUUUGAUCCGAAGAUUUCCGAAUGAGGAAACUCACUUAGAGUAAUGUCUAAGUAUCAUUAAGUGAAUACAUAGCUUAAUGAGGGGAACUCAGGGAACUGAAACAUCUAAGUACCUGAAGGAAGAGAAAGAAAUUCGAUUCCGUAAGUAGCGGCGAGCGAACGCGGAUUAGCCCAAACCAAUAAAGUUUUCUUUAUUGGGGUUGCGGACAUAUCAUAACGAAGAGGUAUCGUAAUUGAAGAGGUUUGGAAAGACCCACCACAGAAGGUAAUAGUCCUGUAUGUUAAACGAGAAGACUUUAGAUAUGAUCCAGAGUACCACGGGACACGUGAAACCCUGUGGGAAGCAGGAGGGACCACCCUCCAAGGCUAAAUACUACCUAGUGACCGAUAGCGUAUAGUACCGUGAGGGAAAGGUGAAAAGAACCCCGGGAGGGGAGUGAAAUAGAACCUGAAACCCUGCACUUACAAGCUGUGGAAGCACAUUUCUUGUGUGACCGCGUACUUUUUGUAGAACGGGCCAACGAGUUACGUUAAGUAGCAAGGUUAAGCACUUAAGGUGCGGAGCCGUAGCGAAAGCGAGUUUUAACUGAGCGUUCAGUUACUUGACGUAGACCCGAAACCGGGCGACCUACCCAUGAGCAGGAUGAAGCGAAAGUAAAAUUUCGUGGAGGUCCGAACCCACGAGCGUUGAAAAGCUCGGGGAUGACUUGUGGGUAGCGGUGAAAUUCCAAUCGAGCCCGGAGAUAGCUGGUUCUCCCCGAAAUAGCUUUAGGGCUAGCCUCAAGGUGAGAGAUACGGAGGUAGAGCACUGAAUGUCCUAGGGGGUAUUGCACCUACCGAAGACUAUCAAACUCCGAAUGCCGUCAUCUUAUACUUGGGAGUCAGACUGUGGGUGAUAAGAUUCAUAGUCGAAAGGGCAACAGCCCAGAUCGUCAGCUAAGGUCCCUAAAUGUAAGUUAAGUGGUAAAGGAUGUGGGAUUGCACAGACAACCAGGAUGUUGGCUUAGAAGCAGCCACUCAUUCAAAGAGUGCGUAAUAGCUCACUGGUCGAGUGAUCCUGCGCCGAAGAUUUCCGGGGCUAAAACUUACUACCGAAGCUACGGCAUCAGUAAUGAUGGGUAGGGGAGCUUCCCAUACGGGUUGAAGCAUGACCGUAAGGACAUGUGGACAGUAUGGGAGUGAGAAUGUUGGCAUGAGUAGCGAGAUGUGGGUGAGAAUCCCACAGGCCGUAAACCCAAGG
rnacentral:rRNA from 1 species